GUAUAUAUAUGUGUAUAUGUAUAUAAAGACAUUUGUAAACCGUAAGACAAUAGUCUACACUGUAAGAAAACUUUCUCUGUAUAGCACCUGUGAAACACAAGGGAAUUCAAAUUGCUUUGCAUAAAACAUUAAAUGCAUUAAAUAUAUAGAAGAAAAGGAAAAUGAAAUAAAUAAAUGAAAAGAGAACUUAACUUGGAAGUUUUAGUGCAGCUGCAGCAGCGUCUUGUUGGACUGCAGCAACAGUCAGCUUCCACAAGGUGUCAAUGUUUCUUAAAGAACACAGUAGAGCCCCAGCAGAGUGUUUUUAUAGCAUUCCCUUUAAUGUGACAUAUUAAAAUGAACCAAGUUAGUAGUUUUUACUUUUUACUAUCCAGCAACCUUUUCACCUUCAUCUUAAAGCCAGAACACUACAGACCUCAGACUUUAGUAACAGUUCUUCAAAUCUCAAUCAAAUUCUUAAAUGCAGAUUUUAACAUGAUCAGUAGCUUAGUAAAAGGCAAACAAACAUAAUGUCCGUUUGAGUUUAAUUCAAUCUUAUUAUUUUGAUUGUACUGUGAAUAACUGAAUUUACCUCAAUCAAGACCGACUGAAUACUGCCUUUAUUUUCUUAAUGUCUUUGAAAUAAUAAAAUGUAUCUCAUCCAA